CGUGAAUGAGAUGCGGCCUUUAUUAAUGGCGCAAAUCAAAUUCAAAUGAUAUCAGUGGAAGAGAAAUUAGUGAGAAAAAAAAUAAUAGCAUUGAUUCCAUUCAAAUGACAAUGGAAGGAUGAGGACUGAUUUCAAAUUUAGUUCAUGGUCAACGAGUCCCACUCAGGCCUAGCUUCUGAAUCUUCCAAAGCUCCGAGGCUUUUCAUUAAAGAAAUGGUUAUGAGGAAUUUCAAAUCUUACGCCGGCGAACAACGCGUUGGUCCUUUUCACAAGAGUUGUGGGGCCCAAUGGGAGUGGCAAGAGCAAUGUAAUAGACGCUAUGUUAUUUGUAUUUGGAAAGCAAGCAAAGCAGAUGAGACUUAACAAGGUUUCUUAGCUUAUCCACAAUUCCACUAAUUACCAGAACCUAGAUAGUGCUGGUGUUUCUGUUCAUUUUCAGGAGAUAAUUGACCUGGUUAGCAAGCACAGCAGUUUCCAGGAAAGCAGGUGCUUCUAUGUUGUUUCGACUGAUGGUAGCAAACAAGAUUUUUCCUAUCGAAAAUGCCUAGAAAACUUUAUCAAGGGGAAGUAUCCUGACUUGGCUCAAUGAUGCCAACGCUUCCUCAGAUGAUUUUGAUUAGAUACAGGCAUUGGUAUCUUCUGCAAUGUAUGUAUGAAACAGAUGUUUUGUGUUCAUAUCUAUGUCUGAAAAUUGAGGAAUUUGUACUAUAUAAAUAUAUGCUUAUGUGCAAACAAGCGGAAUAGAUGAGGAUGAAGGCAAGAUAUUUGGGGCUGAUAUGGAGGGACCUAUCUGGUCCUUUAGACCGACCAGAAUGCCAUUAUCUGCAUGGACGUUGGGAUAUCUCUUCAGUAUGCAUGAUAUGAUGCUUUGGUCAUGAAGGGAAUGGGGGUUUAUUUUGUACCAGGGAAAAUGAGGUUUAUUUUGUACCAGGGGAAUGGGGUUUUAUGGUCCUGAAUCUGAUGAAUUUGUAUUUUUGUAUUUUUCAUGUAUAGAAGAACUUUUUUGUGUAAUGGAUAAUAUGUUUCUUAUAUUAAUGCCUAUAUUUUUUCUUCUCCAA